GGAUGGCAAGAAAAAAUAUUGUUAAAAUGUCUAUACUACCCAAAGCAGUCUACACAUUUAAUGCAACAUCCCUAUAGAAAUACCAAAAACAUUAUUCACAGAGCUAGAACAAACAAUCCUAAAACUUGAAAGAUAAGGAAAGGCC